UGAAAAACGCUGACUUCGUUAUCUUCCUCAAAAGAAUGGAAACUUAUUUACAUGAUUGUUGCUGACCAGGCAUCGAUAAGAAGAAAUGGGGAGCAAAUAUUUUGUAUAGACACCAGAAUGGCUAAUAAAGGUGACAUCACGCUGAGUUGCAAGUGUGUUCCAGGAUGGGCUAAUAGAGCUCCAGGGAAAGCUGGGUUAUGGGAGUGAGUGGACUGCACGUGGGAGGAAGGAAGAACUCAGGGUCACUAAAGGAGCAGCUUCCUGACCUGGGAGUAUUUGGCAGGAAUCUUCAGGUAUUGGAUCCUGAUACAGACCAGAUAUUCUGGAAUUCUCUCUCCAACAAAAGAUUACUUCAAGGCCAGAACACACUCCCAGCUAGAGAUCCAAGUUAUAGGGAGCCUGAGAUGCUGCAAGUCUGAGAAGCUCCCAGGUGAUGCUGAUGCUGUGGGUUGCUGGACCACGCUUUGAGCAAUAAGGUCCACUGACGGGCUCCCAAAUUUUCUGAUGAGAAGAAUAAUCCAAGGAAUUUGUUGAAAAUUCAAAAUUCCAAGCAUCUUAUUAGAACCACUAAAUUACAUCUCUGCCACUAACUAGUUGUGUGACUUUGGGCACAGUAUUUAACACUUCUGAGUUUCAGUUUUCCCAUAUGAAAAUCGGAAUAAUAUCUACUCGUGUUUGGGGACUUAGAUCAUAUAUAUAAGGAAGCUAGCAUAGCAUAUGAGACACAACAGAUACCCAAAAACUCAUAGGUUCUGUUUCUUCUAUUACUACCACAAAUUACAGUUUGGCUGCUGCAUGUAUAUGUGUUCCUAACUACCUUAUAGAAAACUGAAGGGCAAAGAGAACAUUUGACUUUUUAAAUUUUCUUUCAGUUCUCAAAAUGGUGCAGGUAUUUGGACAUAGGUGUAAAAGUUCCACAUUAAGAUAAAAUGUGAAACUCAAGUAUAAGUUAAAGAAGUUCUGCCCUUAGAGUUAGGAGCCAAACACACACAUGAAGCACAGAGUACAAGCUGUAGAAGCAUUUCCCAAAUGGUGUGCUGUAGAAUUUUGAUCUUGGGUAAUGCAUGCUGAAAACAAAUUGAAUUGAGUUGAAAUUAGUUUAGGAAACACUGGUAUUUAUAGCCUCCUCCUGAUAAACAACUAAUAUUAAAGUAUUGCAGUAAAGAACCCUGUUUAACUUAUUGAACCAAGUGUUUUCCACAUUUUGACUAUGAAACAUUUUUUCACCUAACACCUGUGCACAAGACCAGGGACUGGUGUAAGAACUCAUUAGCAUGACCUUCAGAGACAGCUGUCUAACAGUUCUCUGCUCUCUUUUCAGCAGCUCUAUGUCAAGAAGAUAUCAUUAGUACUGUAAAGUACUAAUCCUGGCUGUGUUAAGCGAGGGAGGGCAGGGAUGAUAAAUGAAAACUGUGUCUAUGUCUUCAUAUGUUUAUUCUGUACCUGACUUUUUGUAAUAUUUUAUUUUGAUGAGUUGUACUUGGCUCAGAUGAGGUUAUCCCAAGCUCGUGUCUAGACUAGUCUGUUAGAAGAACUGCUCCACCCAUAUGUAUAUAAGUAUGUAUAUAAAAUUCAAAUCUGUGGCUUAAUUUGGAGAAGAGCAGUGGAGCCUCACUCAAUUCAUGCUAAGGUAGUGAGAACUGGGUUUCUAUGUGGUUACAGCUCCUUCUGGCCAGGAAAAUGUUGCUGAUAACACUAAUGCAGCUCUUUACUGACUUGCUUCUCUAUCCUUGAGAUAAGUCAACCUAGUAUGUGAUGUUUGUGCCUGGCCUUUCUAUCAACUUAAACCUGUUCUUGGCAUUUGUUAAUAUUGGGGUCAUACAAUCCAGUAAAUGCCAGAAAUAAUUUUCCGGGAAGAACAAACUUCUUUUAAUUUAGAAGCAGUUUAUAUCUUCCUAUGGUUUUACGAAGCUAUCAUUGUCAAAUUUAGCAGGUAAAAACCAUAUUUGAAUGUAAAAAUUACACUGUGAAAUUAGAGUCUCGUAACCAACUGCCACCAAAUUAACUUGCCAGAUUAAUUGUGCUCUCCAUUGAGUUGUAUGCUAACCAAGAAUAAAUUGUGCUUGGUCUCAAACUUGUUUAUGUUACUUGUACCCUAACUCUAACCUUAUACUUUCAUAAUUUAAG
rnacentral:lncRNA from 1 species